ACUACGGGAGGCAGCAGUGGGGAAUAUUGCACAAUGGGGGAAACCCUGAUGCAGCAACGCCGCGUGAGUGAUGACGGCCUUCGGGUUGUAAAGCUCUGUCUUCAGGGACGAGAAUGACGGUACCUGAGGAGGAAGCCACGGCGAACGACGUGCCAGCAGCCGCGGUAAUACGUAGGUGGCGAGCGUUGUCCGGAUUUACUGGGCGUAAAGGGAGCGUAGGCGGACUUUUAAGUGAGAUGUGAAAUCCUCGGGCUCCACUUUAGUGCUGCAUUUCAAACUGGAAGCCUAGAGUGCAGGAGAGGAGACUGGACUUCCUAGUGUAGCGGUGAAAUGCGUAGAUAUUAGGAAGAACCCCAGUGGCGAAGGCGUUUCUCUGGACUGUACCUGCCGCUGCGGCUCG
rnacentral:rRNA from 1 species